GUGCCAGACUCCUACGGGAGGCAGCAGUGGGGAAUAUUGCACAAUGGGGGAAACCCUGAUGCAGCGACGCCGCGUGAGUGAAGAAGUAUUUCGGUAUGUAAAGCUCUAUCAGCAGGGAAGAUAAUGACGGUACCUGAGUAAGAAGCCCCGGCUAACUACGUGCCAGCAGCCGCGGUAAUACGUAGGGGGCAAGCGUUAUCCGGAUUUACUGGGUGUAAAGGGAGCGUAGACGGCAUGGCAAGUCUGAAGUGAAAGCCCGGGGCUCAACCGCGGGACUGCUUUGGAAACUGUUAAGCUGGAGUGCAGGAGAGGUAAGUGGAAUUCCUAGUGUAGCGGUGAAAUGCGUAGAUAUUAGGAGGAACACCAGUGGCGAAGGCGGCUUGCUGGACGACGACUGACGUUGAGGCUCGAAAGCAUGGGGAGCAAACAGGAUUAGAUACCCCAGUACA
rnacentral:rRNA from 1 species